rnacentral:rRNA from 1 species
GAAAUUGAAAAGUACUCUGAAGAGAGAGUAAAUAGUACGUGAAACCACAUACAGGUAAACGGAUGGAGUCCAGCUGCGUGCUCUGGGGACUUAGCUGGUGUGUGCAUGACAGAUGUUAUGAACUGCUACUUGUGGCUUGCCUAUAAUUGGCAAAUCAAGCCCCCGCUUGAUUCACGUCCGUAAUGUAGACGGUGUGGGCUACUUGUAGUGUCUGUUUGCAUGCCAGUGUCAUUCCUCAGGGCUGACAUCACAGUCAAUAUUGCUGCCAGUGUGUGGUGGUCAAACCGUGGAGCAGUGGGCCUUGAAGUUCACUCUCCGCGUGGAUGGCAGGUGGCCUGGUCAUUCGCCUUUGUGCGGUUGAUUGGGUUUAAUUAUGGUUGCGGCCUGCCGAUCACCAUGCUGUUAUAUUAACUUUUAACUGUGCAGUGUAUUGGUUAUGAGCUGUGUGCUUCCGCAACUCUGGUAUCAGGCUGGCUUGCGUUGGGCUAUCGGUAAAACGGUGCCUAAAGUGAGACUUCAGAAUGUGUACUGGUGUGAAGGGGUGCGCUCUCGCAUAAACUGUGGUGUUGUGGUA